rnacentral:tRNA from 1 species
AAGGAAUUAGUUAAUAUAAAUAUAACAUUAGGUUGUCAAACUAAAAUUAUCAAUAUUUGAUAUUCCUUU